GUUCAAAAUUUGGGCGAAUUUCGCAAAACCACAAAAUUGGUUGGAUAGGGCUCGCUACAGUGAUCCGGAUCACGGGCUCCUCUGUCCCGCCGGAAGCAGAGCGGGCAGAGCCGCGCGCGCGCCCCACCGCCACGCAGCUGCUUGCUGGCCACAUCAUCGCGCGACGUGGACGCCCGCGACCCCUUCGACUCGUCCCCUUGAGCGCCCCCGCGGCCGACAUCUUUCUGCGACCGAAAACGCCGAUGGAAUUCAUCUCGCUCCUCCCACCUCAGCCCCGUUGCUCUCUUCCUCUGCUCCGCAGCAUCCUUGAGCAUCGUCUAAGCCAGCUAACACUCUCUUCCCUCGUCGGACUCGGCCAUGAGCCGGUUUCCCGUCACAGAGCCCCGCCAUGGCCGCCAUGGGAGCCUGCGCACGUGGCCAGGAGGCCACAGACCUUCUCCGGCCAAGCCGCUGACACCAGCGCGAGCGCGCGAGCCUCAGGAUGCUCCCCAACGCUUUCCCUCGCUGCCAACAAGCGUCCACCGGCCGGAAAUCAGGUUUUCUCCGACAUCCUCUGCUCUGGAAUCGCGACCAGGGACUUCGCGCGACAAUUUGAAGUUCUCCAGGGGUCUAAUUGCACAGACUGUGACUCAGGUGAAUAGUGCUAUAAGGACUUGUUUGUAGAUGUUUUGUUGAAUCUUUGAAAAUUCAUAUCUGGAGUUUGGUAGCUCCAAUUUUGGUGAACCAAAUUUUGUUGUGCUCCUUGAGAUGUCUAGUUUUUAUUAAAAAUAUGAAACUGACCAUGUUUUGUAGUAAAAUAAUUAGUUAUGAUUUAUGCCUUUUAAUUAUGUUUAAAAGGGAGAAAUUCAUAUCUCAUUCUGUAUAGCUCCUAUUGCCCUGAAAUUUUUAUGGUGUUCUCAUGAUGUUAUGUGAGUGUUGCAGUAAAAAUUUCAUGUUCAGUAGAUGAUAUAUGGUUAAGUUAUUAAUUUAUCUUGUUUAGUGCUUAUUAAAUUAUCUAUAAUUAAACUAAAAAUUAAUAAAUACAAAAUAUGGUUCCUGUACCUUUAUAUGAGGUCUUUAUAUCAUACAGAUACAUAAUUGAGCUAUGUGUUUGUAGAAAAUGUCGAGUUUCUUAAUUAUCUUGUUGUUACAUGCUUCCUUGUGAUGGAAAUUUAUCUUUUUCAUGGAAAUUGUUAUACUUAACCAAAUGGUAUGAAAUUUAUACAGUAGACUUUGGAGAGAAUAUAUGAGCUGCUGUAGUUUUCUCAGAAUUUACUGUGUACUUUUGAUAUAUGGUUAUUGCUUUGUUUAUUUACCUAAAUAAAUUAAUAAAAACAUGAAAGGAAUUUUUAUUUAGGGAUGACCAUGAUAUUUUCUAGUAUUUCUUGGAUGUAUUUCAACUGUUGGUGAGCUGGGUUUUGCCCAGGUUUAAGUUUGGAACAUAAAUGAAAUGUUUUUCUCUGUAAUUCAAUUAUUAGUGAUUUCUAGAUAGUUUCUGGAACAUUAUAAAUUGCUCUAGGUAAAUAAUGUUGGAUAUGAAACUUGUCUAUAACAAAGUUGUAUAUAAUUCAUGUAUCUACCUGGUGUUAAAGUUUGGUGGCAUUUGUCCCUGUAGUUUCUGAGUUAUGCUUGUUUCAAUUUAAGUUUCAGAAAUGGUUCCCCUCUGUCAAAUCCUGGAUCAGUUUCUGUAGUAGUAUAAUUUCAACUUGCUAAACUUAUGAAUCAUGCUUUCAUGAUAAAAGAUGAAUUGUAGUAAUUUUCAUAAGCUUUCCAAAAUGUUAUGGAUCAUGAAUUUUGGUGAUCUAUAACUCUGGUUAUAGAUGUAUGAAGCUUAAUGUCUGAUUCUGUCCAUGGUCUGGACAGGAAUGUUUCUUCAUGCUAUUUGGCCAUCUUAUCUAUUAAAUCAGUUCUCGAAGAUAAUAACAAAGUUGCAGAAAAUUAUCUAAGCUUUUCAGAAAGUCUAAUAUCACCUUUAUUGGAUGCUUGGAUCUCUAAUUAUGGUUGAAUGAAGUUACAUAUAUGCUGCUGUCCUGGUUAUGUGUGCAAAUUUGAUUUAUGUUUGAAUAUAUAUAGAAGAGUUGUGCAGAUUCGAAAAUAGUGAAAAUAUUUGGAUAUGUUCUAUGCAGUCUGUAGAACACAGAAAAAAAAUGCUAGGUUUUAUUUUCUAGCAAUAUAUAUAUGUAUGAAAAUGGUAGCCUUUAUUUAGUAAAUAACACUAUCAUGAAUUUCAAUAAUUUAGUGAUAUGUCCAAAAAUCACCAAAAUUUGUGGGAUGCCUCUGAAUAUUAUUCCCUGGCAUCACACAAAAUUUGGUGGCACUUGGAUGAAGUUUGAAUAAAAUAUUAUUAUACCCUUAAUUAGUAAUAAUUCCAAAAUAAUUAGGUAAUGAUUAGUUAAAUUCUCAAAAUUAGGGUUUGAGUGAUUUUGGGAUUAUGUGAUGACCUGAGGUCAUUGACCUUAAUGACCUUUGGCAUUUAAUUAUUGUUUGGCCUUAAUGCUUAAUUACUGUCAUUAGUAAUUAAUUAAGAAUUAAUUAAGGUAAAUAAGAUUAAUAAUUAGUUAAUUCAGGUUAAUUAUGAAUUAAAAGAGAUUUUAUUUUACAGAUGCAACCUCUUGGGUAAAAACAUUAAGAUGUUAAACAACUUUAUUUAGUGAUAAUUCUGUAUUGCAUCAAGAAGGCGAGUUGUACUCGAUUUGGUCCUUCUUACAUAUUUGUCAUACGCAUAUCAUGAGCAUUCAUCAUUUUGCGUAUAGUGUCCGUGACCGAAGGAGCGCCCGUUGAACCGAACCCCGACGUCGGUGCUCCGUUCGAAGAAGUCGGAUCCGAGACUUGGGAAGUCUCCGAGGGUCCCUCUCUACCCUGCAACCAAGGCAAGCCCCGGAUGCAUUAACCCCUCCUUGGAUGUUUUAAAUCUUUUAUCACUUAUGAAUUGAAAAUGCUGCAUUAGGUAGUUGAGAAUUAGGUUAACCUACUUGCUGCAUUUACUACCUUGAUAUCUGUAUCCUGUCCUUGACACCUGUUUUAUUUUAAAACUGCGUAGCGAUGCUUAGCCCUGCUACUAGAUAGGUUUUUAAACAAGAAAGUUUGAAGGGUUGUUGUGGGAUACACUUACGAUCAGUGAUGUUUCAAUUUGAGACCGGUCGGUGGACUUGCUCUAAGAAUGGAGUCUUAAAGUAGUGUCUCCGACUGUGUUGAUUAAGGACCGUUCCGUUGAUGGCCUGCUGGGUUGAGAAUUUAUAGUACUAGCCACUUGCCCUCGGUAAGCCCGAUCUUGUAAUCCCUCGACGCGAACAGCUACUCGCGCACUGGGAGUGGAAAGAUGGCGAGAGUAACGUGUGCCCACCUUACGGAUCUGAGAUGACCGGAAAACAUCUAGAUCGGCUGUAGGAUGGUGGAGUACUGUGCUCUCGGGUGCCGCGAACCUGGUCAAAUUUGGGGAGAGCUUGAUUCGGGUUGAUAUAUGCAAGAUUUGGUUCUACAUAUGUCGGGUGGUUAGGAACUCCAGCUGGAUUGCUAAGCGAUUCGAAUCGUCGUUGCUCCCCGAUUGGGAGACUCAAUUCCUUCGACCCUCAUCGUAGUUAAAUAUGCAACUAAGUGAUAAAAUGAGAAAGGGGGAAAAUGUCUUAUGAGGUUCGGAUCCCAAUUCCCGGACUCAGAGUGACAUGAAGCUUUGGCCGUUGGAUAGAUAAUACUUUGAUUAAGGACGAGGAACUUACAGACUUGUCUGUGAGAAGCAACUAGAUAGACUGUCCUCGAACUCCUCGACCUCUUAAGGAGAGGAAUUCGUGGGUAAAACUUGAAAGUAAGGAUGCACUAUUAGUAAGCUUUUUGGCAAAACAAUUUGGCUCCUUGCUCAGCCACUCCUUGUCUACCCCAAGCCUGCAUUCCUAAGUUCUCCUCUUUUUCUGCCGGGUAAGUCUUGUUGAGUACUCCCGUACUCAGGGUUUUAUAACCCCUGUUGCAGGUGCUGACUUAUGCUGCUAAUGGAGGUCAUGUCGGUGGGCGCGACAUGAUUUAUCCACCUCUUCUACCUUAGAAGCUUCACCUAAGAUGCUUCCGCUACUCCGCACACCUUUUGGAAAUUUAGUUGUUUAUAUUCCAUCAUAUGUUGUAAAUUGAGUUAUAAAUCUUCCGCACUCCGAUGUAAGUUAUUUUUGUAACAAAUGAUGUAAUGUUGUGGUAACUCCAUGUUGAUCCUGUAUGAGUUAAAAUGUGGAUGAUUCGGGGUCCUCUAAGGGCACCCGACAGACUACCUGGGUUAUAUGACUCUCAUGUGCAGUAAUCAGAGGUCUUAAUGACAAUGAUAGGUGCAUGUGGGCCAUAUAAUUUAGGUGGUUCUGCCACAGAGUGGUAUCAGAGCUCAUACAUGGAUCUUCUGCAACAUUACUUGUGAAAAACUUCAAAAGGAAUUUACAAAUUAAAAGUUUUUGAGGACAACAACUUGUAAAUGCUCCUUAACUUUUCUUAUGCUUGCUAUUCAAGUUCUGUGAAGACUGUCUGCUGACUCAAAUAGAAGGCAUUGAAAGGGACUUCAAUUCUUCUUCAACAAGUCAAGUGAAGAAUCAAACUACUCCAACAAUGCUUUGUCAAGAGUCUUGCAACAUUCCAUCCAGAGCGAUGAAGAUACUGUAUAAAUAAAGCCCUAUAAUCUACUAACAUGAUGAAGAUGGAGCACUCUCGCCGUUGAGAAGACGUAUAGGACGAGCAUAUUGCAUAUCAUGCAUAACAUGACAAUAUAAUGAUACUUAAAAGCCCCUCCUUAUGCUUCAAAAACAGUUAUUAUUCAUUAUAGCUGUUUUAUUGAUGAAUCUCAUCAUGUACCAGCUUUCGUUAACCGAUUGAUAAUCUUUUACUCCAUAAGAUCCUAAUCCUUGAUUCUCUUGUUAUGCAUGUGACCUUCCUUGAUUUCAUCUAACUUGACACAGGCUACCUCCUUGCUGUCAUUUGAUGACAUAUGUGCUGAUUGAAUGACACUAUGAAUGUGUCCUCUUAAGGUACCAUGACUUGUAACUUAGGUAACAAUGUCGAAACCUGGGGUCUCCUAUGGCUCAUGACCAUGAGGAAAUACUGCUGGGCGCUCAUUGUUAUCAAAGUAUAUGAUCAUGAUCCCUUAUAGUCCACAAUUAGGGUGUUUCAUUCUUUGGACACUCCUUAGGGAUUCAAAUUUGUCCUUUUGAGUUCCCUAAACGCCUUGUGGUUGUGAUCGACUUUUGAUCUCAGUUACAUUCUUGGUAUUGUGAGACAUGGGUUAUUGUUGUGGUGCCCUAUAGUGGUGCCAUGUCCCGUGACCCCGGUGCCGCGUCGGAACCUAGAGUCUUUUGUGUGUCUGGAUGACACAAAUUUCUGCUGGGCGCGUGCAGGUAUCGAGGUUAUGGGCAUGAUCCAUUAUAGCCCCACAACUAAGGUGCCCUCGCUCUUUAAGCCCUAUCAUGGGAACCCAUGCCCAUAUCUUUGUGGGAAUUACCUAAACCCUUGACUUGGAUAACCAACAUAGAUUGGUUGAAAGCUAUUGUAACUGUGCUCUAUAGUAGGUACCAUGAUCCGUGAUCACGUUAUAACGUCGAGCCUUGUAGUCUCCUGUGGAACCGCGGCCAUAAGGAAAUACUACCAGGUGCUCGUUAAACAUCGGGAUCUCUGGUCAUGCUCCACUAUAGUCUACAAUUAGUAUGCUUUCAUUCUCCUUGGAAGCUCAUUUGGAGAUUCAUACCUUCUUAUGAAUUCUCUAAAAUUCCUGGUUGAUUACAACUUCCUAUUGCUCUUAGUUGUAUUUCUCAGACCAAUUAUAGUUGUUUUACGAACUUCUCAGAAGUUAAUGUGCUUAACACAUUUCCUUUUCCAUUACAUACCAUAAGGCUUUAAAUCUCGAGGACGAGAUUUCUUUAAGGGGGAAAGGCUGUAACAUCCCUGAUGUUACGAACACUAAAAACGGAUCAUGUUAUCAUAAGCAUUGCAAAGCAUAUUUGUUAAGCACAUUAUUAUGCAUCAACUUAAAACAAGUUUAUUUUGAUUGCUUGUGCUUAGGGAAGUAGAGUGUACUUAUGUUGUGAAGUGAUGCUUGUGUUGGUUGUAUAACCCCUAGGGCGGAAGGUUUCCGAUAAAAUAGGGGGAAAACCCUGAUUUUAAAACCCUGGAUUUGCCCCCUUUUGUGUAAUUUUAAAACCAAGCAAAAUUUGAGGUUGAGUACAAAAGAAAAGUUGUAGAUCUUGUCAAGAUGUACAACUUUGGUGUUUUGAGUUUUUGAAGUUUCAAUACAAAAUUCAAAGUAAUUUUGAAAAUACAGAUUUCCAGAAAGUGUCCCCUUUUCCAAAUUGAACCUCCAAUUCAAAAUCUAUUUGGAAUUUUGAAAAGUGACCAACAUUAAAGUUGUAGAGCUCAAAAAUUUGAACAACUUUCAUGUUGGGAGUUUUUCAAGUUGUUUGGAAAAAUUAAAAGUAAUUUUGGAAAUUCUAAUCUGCCCCAAUUCAAAAAUUGGAAUUUCCCCAAUUUGGGAUUUGAAAUUCAAACUGUUUUGUCAAAUUCGUCAUUUUCCACCCAGAAUUGGCUUUGGUCACCAAAAGAAGAUUUGUAGUUUGUAAAAUUCUGAAUAACUUUUGUUUUGGUGGAAUUUUGUCUUCAGUUCAAAAUUUGGGCGAAUUUCGCAAAACCACAAAAUUGGUUGGAUAGGGCUCGCUACAGUGAUCCGGAUCACGGGCUCCUCUGUCCCGCCGGAAGCAGAGCGGGCAGAGCCGCGCGCGCGCCCCACCGCCACGCAGCUGCUUGCUGGCCACAUCAUCGCGCGACGUGGACGCCCGCGACCCCUUCGACUCGUCCCCUUGAGCGCCCCCGCGGCCGACAUCUUUCUGCGACCGAAAACGCCGAUGGAAUUCAUCUCGCUCCUCCCACCUCAGCCCCGUUGCUCUCUUCCUCUGCUCCGCAGCAUCCUUGAGCAUCGUCUAAGCCAGCUAACACUCUCUUCCCUCGUCGGACUCGGCCAUGAGCCGGUUUCCCGUCACAGAGCCCCGCCAUGGCCGCCAUGGGAGCCUGCGCACGUGGCCAGGAGGCCACAGACCUUCUCCGGCCAAGCCGCUGACACCAGCGCGAGCGCGCGAGCCUCAGGAUGCUCCCCAACGCUUUCCCUCGCUGCCAACAAGCGUCCACCGGCCGGAAAUCAGGUUUUCUCCGACAUCCUCUGCUCUGGAAUCGCGACCAGGGACUUCGCGCGACAAUUUGAAGUUCUCCAGGGGUCUAAUUGCACAGACUGUGACUCAGGUGAAUAGUGCUAUAAGGACU
rnacentral:lncRNA from 1 species